rnacentral:lncRNA from 1 species
AUACAUCUGAACCCAAAACAACUGAAAAUGAUUUUCUUAGAGAUUGUGUUUUCUCUGUUACAGAUGAUGGAAUCAUUACCCCUUAAAGCUGCUUGCCCUUGAUUGUGGAAUUAGUGACUUCAUCAACACCGGCAGAACAAACACAGCUCCCCAAGCUUAGAGCCUGGCAGGUAAAAAACUUUCCAGGCAAAAAUAAGGAAACAUUCAUGGUAACUGAAGGCACCUACAAACUGAUGAUAAAGGACUUGAAACCAACAGGCCAAGUUCAUCCCUGGUGUAACUCCAAUUGUUUCAAUUCAAACCUAUCUGAAGUGAAGGACUUUGGCAGAAUCCGUCAUGAAGUCACGGGCUAAUACUGCCAGAGGCUUUUGUCUGACCUGAACAUUUCAGUAGUGGAAAUAGCUCCUGACCAUUGACUCACAGAACAAUAAGAGCAAAACAGCUUUACUGCUCUUAUCUCCUCCCUCGGAGAACAUUCCUCCUGCUCCAGACCCCCACCGGGAUGACAACCCUCUGUCUGCAUGACUGAUAUCCAGCAUGUCUUAAUCUACCAAACCACAUAGCUGUAUCCAACACUGGCCCAUUGGGAUAUGGUUCCUUAAACCUCAAAGCAAAUUGCAAUCGCACAAUAGCAUGUCAGGUAUAUUUAGAAGCAGCUGAUGCCCUCUCCCUUUCUCCCCCAUCUCUCUCUCUCUCUCUCUCUC